rnacentral:rRNA from 1 species
GUGGGGAAUCUUGCGCAAUGGGCGAAAGCCUGACGCAGCCAUGCCGCGUGAAUGAUGAAGGUCUUAGGAUUGUAAAAUUCUUUCACCGGGGACGAUAAUGACGGUACCCGGAGAAGAAGCUCCGGCUAACUUCGUGCCAGCAGCCGCGGUAAUACGAAGGGGGCUAGCGUUGCUCGGAAUUACUGGGCGUAAAGGGCGCGUAGGCGGACAGCUUAGUCAGAGGUGAAAGCCCAGGGCUCAACCUUGGAAUUGCCUUUGAUACUGGCUGUCUUGAGUUUGGGAGGGGUGAGUGGAACUCCGAGUGUAGAGGUGAAAUUCGUAGAUAUUCGGAAGAACACCAGUGGCGAAGGCGACUCACUGGCCCAAUACUGACGCUGAGGCGCGAAAGCGUGGGGAGCAAACAGGAUUAGAAACCCCAGUAGUCC